rnacentral:rRNA from 1 species
CGUCAAAUCAGCACGGCCCUUACGUCCGGGGCGACACACGUGUUACAAUGGGAGGUACAAAGGGUUGCUACACAGUGAUGUGAUGCUAAUCUCAAAAACCUCUCUCAGUUCGGAUCGGAGUCUGCAACUCGACUCCGUGAAGCUGGAUUCGCUAGUAAUCGCGCAUCAGCCAUGGCGCGGUGAAUACGUUCCCGGGCCUU